rnacentral:rRNA from 1 species
UACAGAGGUGGCAAGCGUUGUUCGGAUUUACUGGGCGUAAAGGGCGCGCAGGCGGCUCAUUUUGUCAGGCGUGAAAGCCCCGGGCUUAACCUGGGAACUGCGUUUGAUACGGAUGGGCUAGAGUUCGGGAGAGGAGAGUGGAAUUCCCAGUGUAGAGGUGAAAUUCGUAGAUAUUGGGAAGAACACCGGUGGCGAAGGCGGCUCUCUGGACCGAUACUGACGCUGAGGCGCGAAAGCGUGGGGAGCAAACGGG